GCGCGCCUACCCCGGAUGGCCACGAGCCCGCAGCCUCGGCGAGGACGCUGCCUGCGUCUCGGCUGCCUGGACCUUCCCGCGUGGCUCCCGGGGAAGCCCAGCGGCCGGAGAGCGCAGGAUCCGCCUGACGCGCCCCUCCCCAAGGGAAGAACGGGGCGGAGGUCCAGGAGGGACGUAAGCCGGGCUCCCCCGGCGUGCUGAUCCGAACCCGCGCGGGGAAAUCUGCACAAACCAAAGGAGGGAAGAGUCAGGCACCCCCGAACCCCCCCAGGGAGACCCAGGUGAAAAACAGACGCCGGCCUCGCCUCUCCCCGUGCGGAUGAUCCCACCACUCCCACCCCCGCCUCUGCAGCCCCCAGUUCGGCUCCCUCAGCCCCACACCCUCUCUGGUCACCUAAGUUCCUGGCUGCUCAGGGAGCAUGUCGCGAAGGAUCGGGAAGGACAGGGGUCUGCUUCCCCAGCCGCCCUCCAGACCCGCAGGGCUGGUAGGGGCCGGCAACCCUGUGCCCCAGCCUGGCCCGUGAGGGGGGCACACCAGGGUAACACAGGAGCAGGAGGGGGAGAGAGCCUGGCUAGUGCGUCCACCUCAUAGGCACCUUCCUUGUGUCCAGGAUGCAGAUGCCAGGGCUCUGAGGCCCUGAGAUCCUGUCUGGGGUGAGGGGGCUUCCUCCAUCCACUGCAUCCACUACCUGGCUGAGUCAAGAGCCCACUGAGCAAGCAGACCCUCCACAGCGAGGCACUCAGGCCUCACAUGGUCACGGUGCUUAUGCUCUGGGCCAGCCUGGAUUGCUCAUCCCUGUCUGAGAUUGGGAUUCACAGGGUCUUCCAGUUCCCCCUCUUUCUUUCUCUACUGAUUGAGAAACACAGAGUCCUUUCACUGCUCCGGGACCUGGCCACUGCGUGUUCCCUGCAGCCUUGAACCCAGGCUGGGGCCUGGCACAUUCCCUGAAAAAGCUGUUUAGGUUGCUUAAAAACACAGUCAACCCUAUUGCUGAAUACGUAGAAACUGGCCCUGCCCUGAGCCCAGUCCCUUAAACUCUCAUCUAAGCUCCAUAGCCAGACUCCCUUGCUGCAAACGUGCUUGGGUAAAGCAUCCCUUGCCUCACCGUCGAUCCCAAGAAAGCUGAAGCUCCAUAUGAAAAUGUCUGGAAGAAAUGCUCUGGACUGAUCAUUUACCACUUCUUUCCUUGGAAUCCCAACCAAUUCCAUCUCGGGACAGGCUGGGGAAGUCUUUGAGGCAACUCCCUUGCUGCCACUUUUGGGGCAACUCUAAACUCCUCAUAUUUGGUCAGAUAGAACAGUUCCAAGCUGUAAAUGUUUCCAGGAAAAAAAUCUCAACUACAAAGCCACUUUCAAGGCGAUGCUGCAUUUCCAACAGCACUCUCCGUAUCCGAGUGGAUGGCCCAGAGCAAUGGUGCUUCCAACCGACAGAGCCCCUCCACAGGUCCCUUACCAUCUGCAGACACCCAUAUCUCAAGGAUCUCUCCAGGCCUCUGGACUGUUUUCCUCAAGUAGGAUUCCCAGCUUCCAAACCUGAGCUAAUCUCCCUGCUGGAACAAGAGGAGACGCCCCGGAUCCUCACCCAGCCAGAAAUGGGGAAGAGUGCUCCCAACGGGUGAGUGUGAACAGGGUGGCCACAGCCCCACUGCCAUAGGCCAGGCCACAACUUGGAGAGGGCCUGGGAGCUCAGAAGGUUCGGAGGACAGAGAACUAGGAGCCAGGAGCCUCCAAGAGCCACAGCGCCCACCUCACAGAGGGCCGGGGCAGACAGCGGGCCCCACCUGGGCAAUGUGCCAUACAGAGACCCAUGAGUGCCAGAGCAGCCAUGGGACUGAGGUUUUGGGAACAGCAGUGGUGGCUGCUGCGCACACACAGAGGAGGACUGGCACGGAGGUCCUGGAGAUGGAGGCUCUGCUGUGCGUUGGGGAUGACCGUACUGCCAUCACACCAGGGAUGCCCAGAGGGAGGCAGCCUCAGGAAGCAGCACCACAUGGGCUGGUUAUGAGUCAACAGUGAGGGUCCGGCUUGGGGACCUGGUGACAUGGGCUGGGAGAGGGGAUCUACUGCCGUGGCCUUGGAGGGUCUUCUCUGUGCCUGCUGUGCGGGGCACCAGGGGUCCUGACAGAAGACAGUCGGUCAGGGAGGAGCAGCCUGAAUGACAGCGAUUGGCUUUGCCCUGGUGCGGGGAAUGUGGUCAUUCCAGGUGAGGAUGAGGAGAGCUGAGGCCAGGUGAGGCUGCGUUUCUAGGGCCUUCAGCAGCACACAGCCGUUUGAAGUGCAUAUCAGGAGGCAAAGGAUCCUUCCCUGGGUUCAAGCAGGAGAAACCUGGGGUUCGAUUAGCAGCUGCUGGGACCUCCAUGUUGUCAUGUUGGUCAUUUGGGGCCUGUUGUUGAACAGGAACGGCUGCAUUGCUGGGGGGUGGGGGGGUGGCACUGUACUAUGGAGGAGAGAGGGGAGCUGUCAAUCAACCACCAUUGCAGGCUCUGGGGCACCCGACUGGCGACAGAGAUGGCAUGGUAAGAGGUUGGUGGGACUGCUGAGGUGCCCAGGACCAGAGGGGCUCAGCACAGAGGGGUCCAGGCUGGGUCUGUCCCCCCAGGACAGAGACGCAGUUUGGGUCUAGGUGGGGGUCUGUCCAUCAGCCUUGAGCUUGUGGCUGGGGAUGGCUGAGAUUUGACUGUUGUUUCUUCGCAGUCUUGAGAUUUGGGAGUAGAUUUUGAAUUUGAGCGGGUCUAGAGACAAGAAGUUUUCAAGAGUUUCAGAAAAAGGAGUCAGCCGGGCACAGUGGCUCAUGCAUAUAAUCCCAGCACUUUGGGAGGCCAAAGAGGGCAAAUGGCUUGAGCUCACGAGUUCUAGAUCAGACAGGGCAACCUGGCAAGACCCUGUUUCUACAAAACAUACAAAAAUUAGCCAGGCAUGGUGGCAGGUGCCUGUAGUCCCAGCUACUCAGGAGGCUGAGGCAGGAGAAUCACUUGAAGCUGGGAGGCAGAGGUUGCAGUGAGCCAAGAUCACGACACCGCACUCCAGCCUGGGUGAUGGAACCAGACCUUAUCUCAAAAAAAAAAAAAAA
rnacentral:lncRNA from 1 species